UUACAUAUCUCGAAUCGCUUUAUUGCGUAGCACUCUCUCACAAAAUCCGGCCACACUCAAGCUAGUCUCUCAUCCUAUCCGGAGAAAUGUUCGGCGAUAAAGAAGCCAGCAGUUUGGUUAUAAAUUAUGUCAUACUUAUAUUGCUAUUACUCAUAUUGUGGGUUUUGUACCUAGGGUACUCAUCUUAAAACCAUGGACGAAGCGUCUUCAUAUUCUAACAACACUGGAGGAACAGUAGAUUCAAAAUGUACUACAAUAGGACGUUAUAUCUUCUUUCUUUAUGCCGAAGGCUUACCUGAUUCCAUACAGAUUUCACUGGUAAAAGACUGAGAUAUAUGAUGUAGUGGGGAUAUUUAGUGAUCAUAAUCAUUUGACAUGGCCAGGCUGACAUUGAAUAUCUCAUUUCAUCAAAAAGCUCCAGUCUUUUACAUUUCAGAAAUCACGUAAUGUCACAAAUCAUCUAGCUUUCCGAUUAAAAUGAAGCAGCACAGUUUGUUUAUCAUCAUUUCUGCCUUCCAGUGGGCCAUGCAACCCUGCACGAAACAAGCAUUCGAAAAUGUUCUAAUUUUUGUACCUUGUUAAGAAAAAGAUAAUAAUGAAAUUAUGUAACCAAAGCAUGAUGUGUAACUACAUGAUGUAUAAAAUAUUAAUGAGCAUGAAAUAUAAAUAUGAAUAACGAUAUUUACAUUUUAUAUACUCAAAAAAAUAAAUAAAAUAAAUAUUUUGUUGAU